CGGGCUAUAGCGCAGUUGGUAGCGCGCAUGCAUGGGGUGCAUGAGGUCGUGGGUUCAAAUCCCACUAGCCCGACGA
rnacentral:tRNA from 1 species